rnacentral:rRNA from 1 species
UACGUAGGGUGCGAGCGUUGUCCGGAAUUAUUGGGCGUAAAGGGCUCGUAGGCGGAUUUGUAAGUCAGGGGUGAAAUCCCGGGGCUCAACCUCGGAACUGCCUUUGAUACUGCAAAUCUCGAGUCCGGAAGAGGUGAGUGGAAUUCCUAGUGUAGAGGUGAAAAUUCGUAGAUAUUAGGAAGAACACCAGUGGCGAAGGCGGCUCACUGGCCCCGGUACUGACGCUGAGGUGCGAAAGCGUGGGUAGCGAACAGG